rnacentral:rRNA from 1 species
AGAGUUUGAUCAUGGCUCAGGACGAACGCUGGCGGCGCGCUUAACACAUGCAAGUCGAGCGAGAACCAGUCCUUCGGGGCUGGGGACAGCGGCGAACGGGUGAGUAACACGUGGGUAAUCUGCCCUCGGCACCGGAAUAGCCCGGGGAAACCCGGAUUAAUGCCGGAUGGCCUCUCGAGCUUUCGAGCUCGCGAGAAAAGGUAGCUUUGGCCUCCGGCCGAGGAUGAGCCCGCGGCCGAUUAGCUUGUUGGUGGGGUAAUGGCUCACCAAGGCGACGAUCGGUAGCUGGUCUGAGAGGACGAUCAGCCACACUGGGACUGAGACACGGCCCAGACUCCUACGGGAGGCAGCAGUGGGGAAUCUUGCGCAAUGGGCGAAAGCCUGACGCAGCGACGCCGUGUGCGGGAAGAAGGCCUUCGGGUUGUAAACCGCUUUCAGGAGGGACGAAGCCACUCAGGUUAAUAGCCGAGAGGGUGACGGUACCUCCAGAAGAAGCCCCGGCUAACUACGUGCCAGCAGCCGCGGUAAUACGUAGGGGGCUAGCGUUGUCCGGAUUUAUUGGGCGUAAAGAGCGUGUAGGCGGCCACGUAAGUCCGGUGUGAAAACUCGAGGCUUAACCUCGAGAUGUCAUCGGAAACUAUUUGGCUAGAGUCCGGAAGAGGAGAGUGGAAUUCCUGGUGUAGCGGUGAAAUGCGCAGAUAU